rnacentral:rRNA from 1 species
GACGAACGCUGGCGGCGUGCUUAACACAUGCAAGUCGAACGAAGAGCGAUGGAAGCUUGCUUCUAUCAAUCUUAGUGGCGCACGGGUGAGUAACGCGUAAUCAACCUGCCCUUCAGAGGGGGACAACAGUUGGAAACGACUGCUAAUACCGCAUACGAUCUAAUCUCGGCAUCGAGGAUAGAUGAAAGGUGGCCUCUACAUGUAAGCUAUCACUGAAGGAGGGGAUUGCGUCUGAUUAGCUAGUUGGAGGGGUAACGGCCCACCAAGGCGAUGAUCAGUAGCCGGUCUGAGAGGAUGAACGGCCACAUUGGGACUGAGACACGGCCCAGACUCCUACGGGAGGCAGCAGGGGGGAAUCUUCCGCAAUGGACGAAAGGCUGACGGAGCAACGCCGCGGGAGUGAUGACGGCCUUCGGGUUGUAAAGCUCUGUUAAUCGGGACGAAAGGCCUUCUUGCGAAUAGUGAGAAGGAUUGACGGUACCGGAAGAGAAAGCCACGGCUAACUACGUG